GGAAUCACUGGGCGUAAAGGGUGCGUAUGCGGAAUAUUAGGUCUGAUGUGAAAUCCCCGGGCUCAACCUGGGAAUGGCAUUGGAUACCGGGAUACUAGAGUAUGGUAGAGGGUGGUGGAAUUCCUGGUGUAGCGGUGAAAUGCGUAGAUAUCUGAAAGAACAUCAAUGGCGAAGGCGGCCACCUGGGCCAAUACUGACGCUGAGGCACGAAAGCGUGGGGAGCAAACAGGAUUAGAUACCCUGGUAGUCCACGCCCUAAACGAUGAAUACUAGAUGUUCGGUGCCAAGCGUACUGAGUGUCGUAGCUAACGCGAUAAGUAUUCCGCCUGGGAAGUACGGCCGCAAGGUCAAAACUCAAAGGAAUUGACGGGGGCCCGCACAAGCGGUGGAGCAUGUGGUUUAAUUCGAUGCAGCGCGAAGAACCUUACCUGGGCUUGACAUGUCUGGAAUCCUGCAGAGAUGCGGGAGUGCCCUUCGGGGAAUCAGAACACAGGUGCUGCAUGGC
rnacentral:rRNA from 1 species